GGGAAGGGAGAUGGAGAGGGGUGGGAGAGGGGAGGGGAGGGGGAAGGGAGAUGGAGAGGGGAAGGGAGAGGGGAGGGAGAGGGAAGGGAGAGGGGAAGGCAGAGGGAGAGGGGAAGGGAGAGGGGAGGGGGAGGGAGAGGGAAGGGAGAGGGGAAGGGAGAGGGAGAGGGGAAGGGAGAGGGAGUGUAGUAUGCAGAGGAAAAAGCAGAAAAAACACAGAUAGAGAAAGGCAGAAAAACAGUGAGAAAGACGGAAAGACUGAGAGACUGGGAGCGAGAAAUAGAGUGGAGGUGUGUAUAAUAUGUGUAUAUUGUAUGUUUGUUUGUGUGUGAGUGUGUGAGUGUGUGAGUGAGUGCGUGAGUUUGUGUGUCUGUGGUAGGAUGUAAUAUUGGGGUGUGGUGGUGAGAGGGGCAGCUCACGGGCAGCUCUUUGUGCCCCAGACGGUGCUAGCUGCCCUGGGGCCAUUGGGGGCUAGAGGGAGGACAAGGGAACCAGGUGAAGAGCCACUCUGUUUGACCAGUGAAAACACAACAGAUUUACAAGGACUGGGGUCCCCAAAAGGGCCACUGCGUUUUAUGGCACGUGGAGAUGCAACAUUUAAUGUUAUCCUCAUUCCCAAAUGGAUGGUGGUGGGAUUGACGGCAGUAAAAACACCAAGCUUUCUACAGCUUUUGUUUUUAUGUAACCCACCUCUCCCAAAUGGGUUAGGCUUUUAGUUUUCAUCUGUCAGUCAUUUAAGGUCGUCUUAAAGACAGCUGUCUAUCUACUCAUGUUACCCACAAUGCUUUUAAGGCUAUAUGGUCAUGUUGUUAGAUGAACAAACAUCUGGCUAAUGUUAUCAGCAAAUAAAGAAACGAUUAAGUUGUUUUAUGGUUAAAUCCAGUUCAUCCGUUUCAAUUGCAUUUAUAUUAGUCCUAUUUGUUUUACAGACAUAAAGUAUAAACUCUGAACAUGUCUUAUGAAGUAUAAACUCUGAACAUGUCUUAUAAGGUAUAAACUCUGAACAUGUCUUAUAAAGUAUAAACUCUGAACAUGUCUUAUAAAGUAUAAACUCUGAACAUGUCUUAUAAAGUAUAAACUCUGAACAUGUCUUAUAAAGUAUAAACUCUGGACAUGUCCUAUAAAGUAUAAACUCUGAACAUGUCUUAUAAAGUAUAAACUCUGAACAUGUCUUAUGAAGUAUAAACUCUGAACAUGUCUUAUGAAGUAUAAACUCUGAACAUGUCUUAUGAAGUAUAAACUCUGAACAUGUCUUAUGAAGUAUAAACUCUGAACAUUCUGAACAUGUCUUAUGAAGUAUAAACUCUGAACAUUCUGAACAUGUCUUAUGAAGUAUAAACUCUGAACAUUCUGAACAUGUCUUAUGAAGUAUAAACUCUGAACAUUCUGAACAUGUCUUAUGAAGUAUAAACUCUGAACAUGUCUUAUGAAGUAUAAACUCUGAACAUUCUGAACAUGUCUUAUGAAGUAUAAACUCUGAACAUUCUGAACAUGUCUUAUGAAGUAUAAACUCUGAACAUUCUGAACAUGUCUUAUGAAGUAUAAACUCUGAAC
rnacentral:lncRNA from 1 species